rnacentral:rRNA from 1 species
CAUAGGUUAAUGAGGCGAACCGGGGGAACUGAAACAUCUAAGUACCCCGAGGAAAAGAAAUCAACCGAGAUUCCCCCAGUAGCGGCGAGCGAACGGGGAGCAGCCCAGAGCCUGAAUCAGUGUGUGUGUUAGUGGAAGCGUCUGGAAAGGCGCGCGAUACAGGGUGACAGCCCCGUACACAAAAAUGCACAUACUGUGAGCUCGAUGAGUAGGGCGGGACACGUGGUAUCCUGUCUGAAUAUGGGGGGACCAUCCUCCAAGGCUAAAUACUCCUGACUGACCGAUAGUGAACCAGUACCGUGAGGGAAAGGCGAAAAGAACCCCGGCGAGGGGAGUGAAAAAGAACCUGAAACCGUGUACGUACAAGCAGUGGGAGCCUCUUUAUGGGGUGACUGCGUACCUUUUGUAUAAUGGGUCAGCGACUUAUAUUCUGUAGCAAGGUUAACCGAAUAGGGGAGCCGAAGGGAAACCGAGUCUUAACUGGGCGUUAAGUUGCAGGGUAUAGACCCGAAACCCGGUGAUCUAGCCAUGGGCAGGUUGAAGGUUGGGUAACACUAACUGGAGGACCGAACCGACUAAUGUUGAAAAAUUAGCGGAUGACUUGUGGCUGGGGGUGAAAGGCCAAUCAAACCGGGAGAUAGCUGGUUCUCCCCGAAAGCUAUUUAGGUAGCGCCUCGUGAAUUCAUCUCCGGGGGUAGAGCACUGUUUCGGCAAGGGGGUCAUCCCGACUUACCAACCCGAUGCAAACUGCGAAUACCGGAGAAUGUUAUCACGGGAG